CCUACGGGAGGCAGCAGUAGGGAAUAUUGCUCAAUGGGGGAAACCCUGAAGCAGCAACGCCGCGUGGAGGAUGAAGGUUUUAGGAUUGUAAACUCCUUUUGUUAGAGAAGAUUAUGACGGUAUCUAACGAAUAAGCACCGGCUAACUCCGUGCCAGCAGCCGCGGUAAUACGGAGGGUGCAAGCGUUACUCGGAAUCACUGGGCGUAAAGAGUGCGGAGGCGGGGUAAUAAGUCAGAUGUGAAAUCCUGUAGCUUAACUACAGAACUGCAUUUGAAACUGGUACUCUGGAGUGUGGGAGAGGUAGGUGGAAUUCUUGGUGUAGGGGUAAAAUGCGUAGAGAUCAAGAGGAAUACUCAUUGCGAAGGCGACCUGCUGGAACAUUACUGACGCUGAUGCACGAAAGCGUGGGGAGCAAACAGGAUUAGAUACCCUUGUAGUC
rnacentral:rRNA from 1 species